GAGCUAUGAUGAGAAUUAAGAUUGUCAUGCACCACUCUGAUUACCCGUGCUGAUAACUUUCUAUUACCCAUUUUUAUCUCUGAGCUC
rnacentral:snoRNA from 1 species